CGGCAACAGCUCAAAUUUGAAAUCUGGCCCCUAGGGCCCGAGUUGUAAUUUGCAGAGGAUGCUUUUGGCGAGGUGCCUUCCGAGUUCCCUGGAACGGGACGCCAUAGAGGGUGAGAAUCCCGUCUUGGACCGGCGUAGGGCCCGUGUAAAACUCCUUCGAC
rnacentral:rRNA from 1 species